rnacentral:rRNA from 1 species
AUUGAACGCUGGCGGCAUGCCUUACACAUGCAAGUCGAACGGCAGCACGGGAGCAAUCCUGGUGGCGAGUGGCGAACGGGUGAGUAAUGUAUCGGAACGUGCCCAGUCGUGGGGGAUAACGUAGCGAAAGCUACGCUAAUAUCGCAUACGAUCUAUGGAUGAAAGCGGGGGAUCGCAAGACCUCGCGCGAUUGGAGCGGCCGAUAUCAGAUUCGGUAGUUGGUGGGGUAAAGGCCCACCAAGCCUGCGAUCUGUAGCUGGUCUGAGAGGACGACCAGCCACACUGGAACUGAGACACGGUCCAGACUCCUACGGGAGGCAGCAGUGGGGAAUUUUGGACAAUGGGCGCAGGCCUGAUCCAGCAAUGCCGCGUGCAGGAUGAAGGCCUUCGGGUUGUAAACUGCUUUUGUACGGAACGAAACGGCUUUUUCUAAUACAGAGAGCUAAUGACGGUACCGUAAGAAUAAGCACCGGCUAACUACGUGCCAGCCGCCGCGGUAA